rnacentral:rRNA from 1 species
UACGGAGGGGGCUAGCGUUGUUCGGAAUUACUGGGCGUAAAGCGCACGUAGGCGGCUUUGUAAGUUAGAGGUGAAAGCCCGGGGCUCAACUCCGGAAUUGCCUUUAAGACUGCAUCGCUAGAAUUGUGGAGAGGUAAGUGGAAUUCCGAGUGUAGAGGUGAAAUUCGUAGAUAUUCGGAAGAACACCAGUGGCGAAGGCGGCCCGCUGGACAUGUAUUGACGCUGAGGUGCGAAAGCGUGGGGAGCAAACAGG